UCCUACGGGAGGCAGCAGUGGGGAAUUUUCCGCAAUGGGCGCAAGCCUGACGGAGCAAUACCGCGUGAGGGAGGAAGGCUCUUGGGUCGUAAACCUCUUUUCUCAGGGAAGAACACAAUGACGGUACCUGAGGAAUCAGCAUCGGCUAACUCCGUGCCAGCAGCCGCGGUAAUACGGAGGAUGCAAGCGUUAUCCGGAAUGAUUGGGCGUAAAGCGUCCGCAGGUGGCAGUGUAAGUCUGCUGUCAAAGGUCAGGGCUCAACCCUGAACAGGCAGUGGAAACUACACAGCUAGAGUGCGGUGGGGGCAGAGGGAAUUCCCAGUGUAGCGGUGAAAUGCGUAGAGAUUGGGUGGAACACCGGUGGCGAAAGCGCUCUGCUAGGCCGCAACUGACACUCAUGGACGAAAGCUAGGGGAGCGAAUGGGAUUAGAUACCCCAGUAGUCCUAGCCGUAAACGAUGGAUACUAGGCGUAGCUCGUAUCGACCCGAGCUGUGCCGUAGCUAACGCGUUAAGUAUCCCGCCUGGGGAGUACGCUCGCAAGAGUGAAACUCAAAUGAAUUGACGG
rnacentral:rRNA from 1 species